AUAAGAACCAAAAUCGUACUGUCACACGCAAUAUCGAUGGUGUUAUUGCAAAAAAGAUUUUUAAUACAUAUAAAUUGUUUAAAUGAAGAAAACAUAAUACUAGCAGUAUGUGGCCCUUAAUUAUGACCUUUGUGAGGACAAAUGCUGUGUAUAUGACUUUCCCAGUGGCACUUGUAGUUGGUUUUGUUGGAUAUAAUUUUGAAGCUGUUAUUGGAAGAACCGAAUCACCAUGGAAAACAAAAAGUAUUCAGGAAGAGCGGGAUGAAAGACAGUUUAAAGAAUUGAAGGAACAUAGUCCUAUUGAUGUACCAAGUUUAAAGUCUAAAAUGGAUAUACCAAAAACAGUUUUGAAUAGAAAUGACAAAAGUCAACUGAAUCACUGAACAAUAGCAAUAAAAUUUUUAUGUUUUCA